AUGUGUUAAAUGAUCAAAUCAGAAAGAAUGGAACUUUUUUGAUCAGAACUUUUUUAUAUUUGCUAUGGAGGUUAUGCUCAUAACAGUUUCUGUUAAAAUAGCAAAGGUAAUCUUAUUCUGAUCUUAUUGCCACAUUUUUUCUUGCAAAAUAGCCACAGAUUUGCGAUUUCUUGCAAUAGAUUAACAGGUUUGUGGAAGUUAAUCAUCUUCUGUUUGUUACAUCACCCCUGUUAUAACCACCGACACCAUCAUCAUCUAAACCCCAGGAUCAUUAGUGUUAAACCAUUAAGAGUUGCAUUGAAAAAGGAAAAGUGCAAGUGAAAUGAAAAAAAGUGAAACCAAUUGAUGGUGUUGACUGAUAAUUUCGCUGAUGCCUGCUUUGUCUGAACCAGAAAAUUUCUUAACCAAAGUUGGGUAACAUCAACAAUAACAAUCAACUACAAAAGCAAGGCUCAAGCAAUCAGAAAAAAGUAACAAAAUAAGCAACCAAGGUUAAUCACUGAUCACCUGUUGACAUAAGUGCUAUUUCACUUAAAAACAAGGUCAUUACCAGAUGGUGAAUGCAACAGGUUGAAUGGCUUUUACAUUGAAACAUCAUCUUCACGGUUUACCUGUUGGACUUAUGUGGCAACGCAAUCAAACCUGGACUCAAUCCAAAUUUCGUGAUAAUUACAUUUGAAUUGCAAAAAUCAAACAGAGGAAAAACGAUGAAGACGAUUAAUGGAAAUGCCUUUAUGCCGUAAAAUUGCUUUAUAAUCAUCACAAUGGCUACACCUUUGCUCAUUGUCAUGGGUUUUAAACCAGAUUCAGACUGAGGAAUGAUAUCAAUACAAAAAAAGUCAACAAUACAAAUGAACAACAAAACAAAAGGAGAAAUAUUAAUACACAAAUUAAAUGAGAUAAUGAUGAUGGUGAUAUUAAAUCUUGGGCGUCAUCAUGGUGAGGAUGACUAUUUGUAAACGCACAAGACACCUAAUGAUGAUGACGAGAUAAAGACAAUGAAAAUUGAAUACUGUUCAACGGAAUAUCACUCUUCUUUCCAGUCAAGUUAGACAAACAAAAAGGCAUUUUACAGUAAAACGGAAAUCAUUUUAUGGAUCGUUGGUUAACAAAGUUAUAAAAAAAAUGAACAGAAAUGUUAUCCGGAUUUUUUCAAGCUCAUAUUGAAAUGUUGAUAAAGACAAAGCUUGAGCAUGAUAUUGUCAUGAUGGAAAUCAAUCAAUCGCUCAACAUUCCACUCACAUGGUCUUAUCGGUUAAAUCCAACAGAAACCUAUGAUAAAAUAAGGUCACUCAAUUAGCUGAAUUGAUUAUUGGAACAAUGGAAAGGCUGUAAACCAAUUGUUGGUCAACCUGGACGCAAAUGUGAGCAACAAAUGUUUGGUUGAACAAUAAGUUAUCAACAUUUAAUGUUAAUAAUAGAAAAGAAAGAAAUCAUACUCCUUAUCAUCAUUAACUUCAUCGUCAUUAUCAUCAUCAUGGAAGGAAGAUACAGAAUGUAGAAAACAAAGUCAAUACUGAACUCUCACAAUCUUCAGUCUACAAUCUGCUCUUCCUUAACCUUAGCCAUUAUGUAUUUUUAUUCAUUACUAAAGGUGAACAGAAGAUGAAAUGAUGAAAAAAAUGUCUUCCUGGUUACAUCAGAAAAACCAUCAGAAUAGGAAAAAAAUAAUAAUCAACAUAAAAAUGGAAUCAUUUUGUUCCCAAGGUUGAUUCCAUACUCAGGCAAGAAGGUGAAGAUGAUGGUAACGAUGAUAAACAUACAGAUGAAGAAAGAUGAUGAGAAAGCAAAAUGAUAACAAAAAAAAGUGUAUUUGUUUUCAUUGUUCAAGAAGACAAAAAAAGAGCCAAAAUAAUCAACAAAAUUCUUCUCUAAAUGAACCAUUUUAGUUGCUAUCAUCAUCAUUAUCAACAGCAACUAACAGCAACGAUUUCCAUCAUCGCCAUUACCUUUUGAGGAAAGUAAAUCACAAUGAAUGAUAUUUUUGAAUGUUUACAAGUCCAAUCACAACCAGAAUUAACCCUUAAUCAAUCUUUUUUAACUAUUCAAUUGAAAGAGUUGGUUAAACGGCUGAAACCAAUUGAAUAUUGAAGGAAACAAUCAGUUAACUAACCCUUAAACUAACACUAUUUCCCUGUGAUUUAUACGCUCUUUUAUUAACCAAAUAUCUUUGCUCUUUAUAUUUACAGGUAAUUGUUUCCUCAACAAUCAAUUCAACUCUAUACGGAAGAUUAUCUCCAUUUUUUAUCAUUAUUAUCAUUUUUGAUUAACUAUUACAAUCAUAAUAGUCAUAUUUUUCCCAACAAAUGAUUCAAUCUUAGCUGUCUUUGUGUUCAACAUGUUUUCCCUCCAAUCGUGACUUACCUUUUUACCUGUAAAUUUGGGAAUCAAAAUGAGAAUCCAAGAAAAGAGAAGAAAGAAAAAUCUAAAAAUGUGUAAAAAAGCUGAAAAUUUCAAUGCACAGACAGAUCAACAUUUUGUGAACAAAACUUCAUACAAUUUAAACCAGAUAACACCUUGAAAAGUAACAUUUUAAAGCUGUUUUUUGUCUUCAACCUUUCAACUUGAUUUUGUCUUUUCCUUCCUUAACCUGAUGAAAUUUCAUGAACUUUUUUGACUCUCAGAAAAACUGCAAAAGCUGAAUUACACCUUUUUCAGAUUAUUGUCUUUACGAUUGUUCCGAUAUUCAUUGGUAUAUUGAAAUGAAUAGUCCGAGGCUUGAGAUUAGCUGGAAAUUGUUGAUGUUUGUUGGUAAUAAUGGUGGUUAGUGGACAGUAGUUAUCAAAUUGACUGAUGAUGGUAUGAAUAGAUGAUAAUGAUUGAGAUUAAGAGUUGGGAUUGGAGUUAAUUGCGAACCAAUUUUCGAUACCUUUUUUGUCCAUCUAAUUGUUAAACUUGUUUCUUAUUUCACACAAUUUUGUAGCAACAAUAAUGGAAAUGGCUAUGAUUGUGAUGAUGAAUGUGAUUAUAUGUAUAUCAUGAUGAAACUUCAAGUAAAAAUGGUUUCUUAAAAUAAUAUCUUGAAAUGUGGAUAAUAAUAAUACCUUGACUGGGUAACUCAGUUUGUUCACAUGAACAGAGUCAAUACUUUGAUUGUUUGUAUCAAAAUGUCAUUCAUCUGGUUAAUGAUAUUCAAUUGUCGAUUCAAUUUUUUGACUCAAUGAAAGUAAAUUGCCCUUUUGUCCAAUGUUAAUCAACUAUUGGUUGACCUGAUUUCCAGGUUACAUUAAAAAUGAAAAUGAAAAUUUGAUCAACAUUAAUCAUCCAAAUAUACACUUUCAUUCAGAUGGACAAGUAAAAAUCACAAUGAAAGUUAAUCAUUAAACAAAUUGUAAUCAAUUCUCACAGUCACAUAAUUGUAACACUAAGCAUUAG